rnacentral:tRNA from 1 species
GCCGGGGUGGGCGAGCGGCGGCGCGUGGUGCUGGACGCGUCGGGCCGGUUGCUGCUGGCGUUCGGGACGCUGUCCCUGCGC